CAGAGAAGUCAUUUGGAGUAAGUGUUGUUGAUGCCCAUGUCUCAAUGUAGAACCAACCAGGUGAAGAAAAUGAGGGGCUUUGGGAAGUGUUCCAGAGGAAAGAACUUGGAGGAGCCUUGGAGUAAAAACCGGUUGGACAUUGUCUUACUCCAUUCAGACUGCUGUAACAAAUUAUGGUAGAGCGAAUGGCUUCUAAGCAAGAUGCGUUCAUUAUUCACAGUGCUGGAGCCUGGAAGUCUCAGAUCAGCGUGCCAACACAGUCCUGUUCUGAAACUCCCAAUUAUGGUAGUUCUUCACUGCAAAGCAAUUGUAACUCAUUCCCUGGCUAAGAGGAAUCGAGGAGGAAAAGAUGAAUAAAACAACUGAAGAUGAUUCUUGUUGCCGAAUCCACUACAGAAAGUGGGAAUUCCCAAACAUAAGGAAUUGAAGAUGAAAAGAUGAAUAAAACAAUUCUCUUGAUACUUCUGAAAUUACUCUCCAUACAGCUUCCAAAAUGAUCUUUAUAAAAAUGUAAAUCAGACUAUUACUCUUAUAGUUAAUAAUCUCUAUGGCUUCCUAUUGCUCUUGGAAUA